ensembl:lncRNA
UUUUUUACCUGCACCGUGUGGCCCCCUUUACGGCCCUAUGAGCCCUGUUCUAAUGUAGUGCACUCGUUAGGGAAUAGGCUGUAAUUUGGGACGCCUCCUGGUUUGUUUGUUGAUGAGGACUUUUAAUAAGGUUGAUGUUGCUGACAAACAGAACAUGGUGAUCUCUCUCUCAGGAGACUCCUGAAUUAACAGGGUCCCUUAUGAACCUUUCAGCUUGGAUUCAGCAUGUUCUGAUAAUGAAUUGUUGAUUCAACAUGCUGUGGAUUCCGAGUCGUAGGCAGUAGCGUGGGGAGUCGGAGGUCGCGGAGCACAUCACUUCCUGUAUUACAUCACUUCACCUCUCCCGGAGAUCUCACCAUAAUGACGCCACCGUGUUGCCAAACACCUCACCCUCCUCCCCCACCUACAGCCAUCUAACCUGACACAGGAGGAGGGGAGGGGCUUCAGACCAUGGGAGGCGGGGCUUCACCCCAAAAACAAUGGACAAUGAUUUCCUGAUUUAAUUUUUUUUUAAUUUAAAUUUUGUACAACAGCUGGUAAUCAUGACGAUCUAGUCAGUGGUUCCUGUUUGUGUUAGUGGUAAGUAAUUACUAGUUUUCUUUUACUGCUAUGUAUUCUUUGGUCCGUUGUUCAGAACACUUCUGUUGCAGCUCUUCCACCAAUAGCAGCAUGUAGCUCUCCUGUCAGAGUAGCCAGGUUCUGUACGCAGUCAGACAGUUAAAGCUGACCUGAGGUCGUAACUGGAAACACUGAAGUUGGACUUGUGGUUAAAAUCGAGGCGUGAAAUGGAGUCGACUACAGCUGUAUUUAGACUUUGCACAUUUUCGAUUAAAAAUCGCAAAUCUAAAUAAACUUUCAACAUUGACCAUAUUAUUUUUGUGAAAUCUAAUUUUGAUUCUGAGUUCGGGCAUAUUAAGUUUUAUAUGUCUAUUUCUAUGUAACUAUUUCUAUGUAACUAAUAUGUAACUAUUUCUAAAAAGUGUAUUUUUCAGAACUCACUUCCUCAGUUUAAAUCACUUGCGCUGCUCACAUAUCGGCUUCUACAAUGUAGGGGGAGGUUAAGGGUUAUGGUAGGUGGAGAUGGACUGAGAGAUCAGCCAAUUAAAACCAGCGGUUGUUUUUUGCCGAUCCUGCCACAGGCCAUGUUCGAGAGAACCAAAACCGUAAUGCAUCAUGGGUAAAUUGUGACUGACUGAUCUACAAAUAAUAAUUCUAUAAUGAAUACUUAUUCAUGGUGGAAGGUGAUUUGUAGAUCAGGCAGUCGACAGUCACCUGAAGUGUCCAACAGGACAUAUAGAAUAAUUCUAGUCCCGUUCUGAAUCGCUGUGAAACCAGAUGUCUUGACAUACGAAGGGCCGGCUGGUGGGAUUGUAAUGAGACCAAUGAAGGCUGUGUUAAGUAAUGGA